rnacentral:rRNA from 1 species
CCCUUCGAUACGCUGGGCGGCACGCGCGCUACAAUGAGCUUGUUAGAAUGUGGCUUGUCCGUUGUGGAUUAGCGAAUCAUUAAAUGAGUCUCUUGAAUGGGAUAGUUAUCUGCAAUUUCUCAACUUGAAAGAGGAAUCCCUUGUAAAUGCGUUUGAGAACAGCGCUUUGAAUACGUCCCUGUGGAAUGUACACACCGCCCGUCGCACCUACCGAUUGGAUGGUCCGGUGAAGCCUCGGGAUUGUGGUUAUUGCCGCUUUAUUGUGGCGUGACCGCGAGAACUUGUCUAAACCUUAUCAUCUAGAGGAAGGUGAAGUCGUAACA